rnacentral:rRNA from 1 species
ACUCCUACGGGAGGCAGCAGUGGGGAAUAUUGCACAAUGGGGAAAGCCCAUCGAUGCAGCCAUGCCGCGUGUGUGAAGAAGGCCAAUUCGGGGCUUUGGUUAAAGACACUUUUCAGCGAGGAGGAAAGGGUGUGUGCUAAUACCAUACAUCUGUGACGUUACUCGCAGAAGAAGCACCGGCUAACUCCGUGCCAGCAGCCGCGGUAAUACGGAGGGUGCGAGCGUUAAUCGGAAUUACUGGGCGUAAAGCGUGCGCAGGCGGUUUGUUAAGCGAGAUGUGAAAGCCCGC